AUUGAACGCUGGCGGCAUGCCUCACACAUGCAAGUCGAACGGUAACGGGCCUUCGGGUGCCGACGAGUGGCGAACGGGUGAGUAAUACAUCGGAACGUGCCCGAUCGUGGGGGAUAACGAGGCGAAAGCUUUGCUAAUACCGCAUACGAUCUACGGAUGAAAGCAGGGGACCGCAAGGCCUUGCGCGGACGGAGCGGCCGAUGGCAGAUUAGGUAGUUGGUGGGAUAAAAGCUUACCAAGCCGACGAUCUGUAGCUGGUCUGAGAGGAUGAUCAGCCACACUGGGACUGAGACACGGCCCAGACUCCUACGGGAGGCAGCAGUGGGGAAUUUUGGACAAUGGGCGCAAGCCUGAUCCAGCCAUGCCGCGUGCAGGAUGAAGGCCUUCGGGUUGUAAACUGCUUUUGUACGGAACGAAAAGCCUUCUUUUAAUACAGGAGGGUCAUGACGGUACCGUAAGAAUAAGCACCGGCUAACUACGUG
rnacentral:rRNA from 1 species